CCUAACACAUGCAAGUCGAGCGGAUGAGAGGAGCUUGCUCUUCGAUUCAGCGGCGGACGGGUGAGUAAUGCCUAGGAAUCUGCCUAGUAGUGGGGGACAACGUUUCGAAAGGAACGCUAAUACCGCAUACGUCCUACGGGAGAAAGUGGGGGAUCUUCGGACCUCACGCUAUUAGAUGAGCCUAGGUCGGAUUAGCUAGUUGGUAGGGUAAAGGCCUACCAAGGCGACGAUCCGUAACUGGUCUGAGAGGAUGAUCAGUCACACUGGAACUGAGACACGGUCCAGACUCCUACGGGAGGCAGCAGUGGGGAAUAUUGGACAAUGGGCGAAAGCCUGAUCCAGCCAUGCCGCGUGUGUGAAGAAGGCCUUCGGGUCGUAAAGCACUUUAAGUUGGGAGGAAGGGCUCAUAGCGAAUACCUGUGAGUUUUGACGUUACCAACAGAAUAAGCACCGGCUAACUUCGUGCCAGCAGCCGCGGUAAUACGAAGGGUGCAAGCGUUAAUCGGAAUUACUGGGCGUAAAGCGCGCGUAGGUGGCUUGAUAAGUUGGAUGUGAAAUCCCCGGGCUCAACCUGGGAACUGCAUCCAAAACUGUCUGGCUAGAGUGCGGUAGAGGGUAGUGGAAUUUCCAGUGUAGCGGUGAAAUGCGUAGAUAUUGGAAGGAACACCAGUGGCGAAGGCGACUACCUGGACUGACACUGACACUGAGGUGCGAAAGCGUGGGGAGCAAACAGGAUUAGAUACCCUGGUAGUCCACGCCGUAAACGAUGUCAACUAGCCGUUGGGAUCCUUGAGAUCUUAGUGGCGCAGCUAACGCAUUAAGUUGACCGCCUGGGGAGUACGGCCGCAAGGUUAAAACUCAAAUGAAUUGACGGGGGCCCGCACAAGCGGUGGAGC
rnacentral:rRNA from 1 species